GGCAAAGUUGGCAUGUGAUACCUUUUGGGAAAGCCCCAAGAUAGCCCUCCGACGAAAUAAGCGGACCAUGGAACUUUUCCAUUGACUUUUGUUGACCCCAAAUUUUGACCUUUAAGUACUUUUUCAGGCAUUUUCGUGAUUUGGGCUAUAUUACGGACCCAAAAUUACUUGUUCAAGCAUUGUUUUUGGAUUUUUUCAUGCAUCAAAGCUCGUUAAGACUAGAUGGGGUAUCCCUACAUAGGCGGGUGGGACCCACGGCGAAUGGUUCAUCAAGUCUUCAAAAAAGAAUAUAUACGAUUGCAUUGCAUAUACUAACGGAUGCGAUCAUACCAGCACUAAUGCACCGGAUCCCAUCAGAACUCCGCAGUUAAGCGUGCUUGGGCGAGAGUAGUACUAGGAUGGGUGAACUCCCGGGAAGUCCUCGUGUUGCAUCCCUCCUUUUUUUUUUUUUUUUUUUUUUGGUUAAAACUUUAUGACUCAAUAACUUCUAUACC
rnacentral:rRNA from 1 species